rnacentral:lncRNA from 1 species
AGAGACACCGAAAUACCUCUGGCAGCUAGCUUGUACAGUUGAUGAUUGCCACUUGUUCUUGUUAAACCACUUGUGCCAAAUUCUCACGUGCAUUUUUAUAGAGUCUCCAAUAUCCUGAUCUUCCACCUGGGUUUCAAAUGCCAUGGAGACAUUAUUACAAACAAUUGUCAUCACCCAACACCUGUGUUCAUAAUAUCCUAUAUUUAAUGGCGUUGCGGACAAGAGUCCACAGGUUGGGCAAUACAAUAUAUUAUUGCAUGUCACCCUUCUGUCUCUCUCUCUCUCCCCUCCAAAUUCCUUUUCGCUGUUUAUUUUUUUCUUACAACAAAAAAAAAAUCUGGAGGUGACAAAAGACAUGUCACAUCCAACCUGUGUUCCUGUCCCUCACAAUUCUGUCUUCUGUGAAGUGAU